UCGGGAUUUGCGCCAUUCCAGGACCAUCGCAAAACGGAGGCUGGAUGCAGGAUGAAGUAUACACAUCCAUAAGAGUCUUUAGUGCCCUGCGGGGGGCAAGGAAGAACAGGAAGGGGAUGAAAUACAGCAAAACAUAAGAUGAUGGCCUGCAAUCCUAUUGCACCAAGAGACGACAAAGUAUGAGACGUGUCUGGCGUUCUGAUAGAGGCUCGUUGUCAUUUGUUAAUAUGGCUACCAUGUGGAGGGAGGUAAAGCGAACAGUACCAGUGUUCAGCAGGAAAAGAAGCCACUAUGUGAGAUAUUUAGCAGCAGCAGUGGUUAAGAUGCGAUAUACAGACAUAAGGAAGAGGUUCUACGUGUUUAUUAAGGAAGCCGCCAAACUAUACCCACCUCCAUCGCCCUGAGAAUCUCCGCAUCACACCGGUGGAGGGCAUCUCUAUGGCACACCUUCAAGUCUCAAGUCAAGUGGAAACAGGAGAAUUCCAUUUCUGAUGGAUUGCAUUUAUGAAUUAGAGAACUAGGAGGAUGUGGAUCUUGUAUUGAAGCGGCUAACUUGACAAGUGGUGAAAGUAGCAACAGCAGCAACAGGAGCAGCAGCAACUAUAGGAACAUCAGCAGCAGUAGCUCCAAACAAAAUCAAGAAUGCCUGCAGAAUGUCCCACUAAAAGAAAGCCUAGAGUACAGUGUCAGCAGAUAAAGUUGCCACCCACCAUUUAAAAUUGACAAUGGCUCAACUCCAGCUGCUGUAAAAUCUGCAAGUACUCACCAUGCCCCAGGUGGUGAGCACUGAUGACCCCCUGUAGGGUCUCCAGGCAAGGAAGAAACAUGGAUGAGGUUAUUGUGGAGUCACAAGGUACACCUCAAAGCACAUCACUUGCUGGCAAGCACAUGAAACCAAACCAAUCUUGCAGAUGCCAACUCGCACCAUAUCCCACACACUCCAAUGAUAACAUUUAACAUCUUCAAUGGUAUCAAGAGACUUACAGUAAAACAAUAAAAAAAUCUUGAGGUGGGAUAUCAUGCCUGUUGUGAGGCACAUCCUCCCAUCUUUUUUUCACUAAUAAUAGUCAUACAGCUUAUUUUUUCAAAUUGCUUCGUCAUUCUUGGAAACUAACACUCGUACUAUGUAAUCACAGUCUGUAUAUUUUCUGGGCACACAGCAACUCUAUUCAGUGUGUAACACGAAUUUCUGCAAAUACUGAAAGUGAAAGAACGUGUAAUUCUUAGUAGAAAAUGCGUUCUAUGCACAUGUGCAUUUUAAUCUUUUCCUGUCAGAGGAGUUUUAAAGUGUAUG